CGCCCACGGAAGAGCUAGCCACGCACUCCCCCAAACAGGCCUUCCUUUUAUAGUUACGGUUUUGCUAUUUUUCAGUUGAGUGUUUUUCAAUUGGCCGUCAUUCGAAUUUGUGGUCGCCUGAUUGCGCGCUGUGAUUCGCACUUAGUUCUCUGGUUUCCUGGCGAGGGUUUCCUUUGUUGCUGGUUCGGUUUUCUUUCGUCAGGCGCGGUUUUUUGGUUAUGCCCGUGUCUCUUUCCCUUUUCAUUUCCCCCCUCUUGGAUUCUUCUCUGUUUGAUUUCGGCGGUACUGUUUCGAAAGGGUAGAGAGGGAGCGAAAGGAGGAGGCGCUCGAGCGGCGGAGGGACGAGGCGAUUUCAGUCUGGUUCAUGGCAGUGGCGAGAUCCCUCUCUCCUCGAGCUUGAGUGUUCUGCCCGAUUCGUUGGAAAUCUCUAGUGAUGAUGGAGGGCUUGACGAAGCUCUCUUCGACUUCUAUAUGGAUCAUGUAUGUGUUUUCUUGUGUUGUUUUGAGUUUAUGUGUUGUUAUUCUGAUGUCUUAUCGUUUUGUUGUUGAUUAUUGGUUGUCGUACUAAUUUUUUCAAAAAGUGAAAUGUUUAAAGAGGAAGUUAUCAUGUGCUGGAAAAAGAAAUGUGAAGUUGAAGCGGUCUUCUGAUUUCCCCGUUUGUUCUACUUUUCAUUGGAUAUUCAGGGAAAUUUUUCUCAGGUGUUGUCGAUGGUUUGUGUCCAAUGUAUAAAGGUGUGGUCCAGGGAUCAGCUGGAGGUUUCUUUGUUAUUUUUGGUUUAGUUGACAACCGGGUCUGUUUUUUCCAGCCCGACCCAUUUAGUGGAUACGAGCAGAUUCAUUUUCUCGGUAGUUUUGUAGAAAUACAGGUGUCUGCAGUGGUCAGAAAAUUUGAUUGAUAUCGAAUUGAAAAUCAGUCAAAUGUAAAAUAGACAGUCCCAGCUACUAUAGUUAUGUGCACUGCUCAA